rnacentral:rRNA from 1 species
UGGGGAAUAUUGCACAAUGGAGGGAACUCUGAUGCAGCGACGCCGCGUGAGUGAUGAAGGAAUUCGUUUCGUAAAACUCUGUUCUAUGGGAAGAAAAGGACUGUACCAUAGGAGAAAGCUCCGGCUAAAUACGUGCCAGCAGCCGCGGUAAUACGUAUGGAGCGAGCGUUGUCCGGAAUUAUUGGGCGUAAAGGGUGCGCAGGCGGCUUUACAAGUUGGAUGUGAAAUAUUGUGGCUCAACCACAAACGUGCAUCCAAAACUGCAAAGCUUGAGUUAAGGAGAGGUAAGUGGAAUUCCUGGUGUAGCGGUGGAAUGCGUAGAUAUCAGGAGGAAUACCGGUGGCGAAGGCGACUUACUGGACUUAAACUGACGCUCAGGCACGAAAGCGUGGGGAGCAAAGAGG